CAGCCCUCACAGUGACAGGAGGUGCAGCACAGCCCUCACAGUGACAGGAGGUGCAGCACAGCCCUCACAGUGACAGGAGGUGCAGCACAGCCCUCACAGUGACAGGAGGUGCAGCACAGCCCUCACAGUGACAGGAGGUGCAGCACAGCCCUCACAGUGACAGGAGGUGCAGCACAGCCCUCACAGUGACAGGAGGUGCAGCACAGCCCUCACAGUGACAGGAGGUGCAGCACAGCCCUCACAGUGACAGGAGGUGCAGCACAGCCCUCACAGUGACAGGAGGUGCAGCACAGCCCUCACAGUGACAGGAGGUGCAGCACAGCCCUCACAGUGACAGGAGG